CGGGGUGUAGCGCAGUUGGUAGCGCAUCUGGUUUGGGACCAGAGGGUCGCAGGUUCGAGUCCUGUCGCCCCGACCA
rnacentral:tRNA from 1 species